rnacentral:rRNA from 1 species
GAUGAACGCUGGCGGCGUGCCUAAUACAUGCAAGUCGAGCGAACAGAUAAGGAGCUUGCUCCUUUGACGUUAGCGGCGGACGGGUGAGUAACACGUGGGUAACCUACCUAUAAGACUGGGAUAACUUCGGGAAACCGGAACUAAUACCGGAUAACAUUUGGAACCGCAUGGUUCUAAAGUGAAAGAUGGUUUUGCUAUCACUUAUAGAUGGACCCGCGCCGUAUUAGCUAGUUGGUAAGGUAACGGCUUACCAAGGCGACGAUACGUAGCCGACCUGAGAGGGUGAUCGGCCACACUGGAACUGAGACACGGUCCAGACUCCUACGGGAGGCAGCAGUAGGGAAUCUUCCGCAAUGGGCGAAAGCCUGACGGAGCAACGCCGCGUGAGUGAUGAAGGGUUUCGGCUCGUAAAACUCUGUUAUUAGGGAAGAACAAAUGUGUAAGUAACUGUGCACGUCCUGACGGUACCUAAUCAGAAAGCCACGGCUAACUACGUG